AGUUGUAGGUGAAGCAGUAGUUGUAGGUUGCACCGUUGUCGGAGCAGCAGUAGUUGUAGGUGCUGCUGUUGUUGUUCCAAUAGUAGUAGGUGCGGCUGUCGUAUGUGCAGUUGUCGUAGGUGAAGCGGUAGUUGUAGGUUGCACUGUUGUCGGAGCAGCAGUAGUUGUAGGUGCUGCUGUUGUUGUUGCAAUAGUAGUAGGUGCGGCUGUCGUAUGUGCAGUUGUCGUCGGAGCAGCAGUAGUUGUAGGUGCUGCUGUUGUUGUUGCAAUAGUAGUAGGUGCGGCUGUCGUAUGUGCAGUUGUCGUAGGUGAAGCGGUAGUUGUAGGUUGCACUGUUGUCGGAGCAGCAGUAGUUGUAGGUGCAGCAGUAGUUGUAGGUGCAGCAGUAGUUGUAGGUUGCACCGUUGUCGGAGCAGCAGUAGUUGUAGGUGCUGCUGUUGUUGUUGCAAUAGUAGUAGGUGCGGCUGUCGUAUGUGCAGUUGUCGUAGGUGAAGCGGUAGUGGUAGGUUGCACUGUUGUUGGAGCAGCAGUAGUUGUAGGUGCAGCAGUAGUUGUAGGUGCAGCAGUAGUUGUAGGUGCUGCUGUCGU